AGAACAAAUGACGGCCGGAGAGGAAGUCUGUCCUCGCUGUUCCUCAGAGGGCCUCCGUGGUGGCACAGGUGGCUGAGCACCACACUGUGAAGCUGUUCGCAGCCUCUGCAGCACGGGUUCGAUCCCGGCCGGCAGUUUUGUGAAAAUAUUUUGUCACAAAACUCAAAAUGCCAGCUCAAAAUGAGAAGAAACCUGUGUGGGGAGGCCAGGAGUGAGGGGAUCUUCAGAGGCGAGGACAACAUCGGUCACGGUUUUUAUCAACACGGAUUCCUCUUUCAAGUACGCAUCGUAAUCAAAGCUCUCGCAUCUGAGUGUCACUCACCCGAGCUUCCCGGUCUCCCUGAGCUGCGUCCACGUCAGGGGCGCCUUCAUGAGCCUGAAACAGAAAAGACGUCCCGGGGUGGAUGAGAUGAGCGUGUUCAGGCGAAAGAGAAACGGCUCCAGCGGCAGGGGCAGGCAUGUCUCUCAGGAAACGGUUUUUAUAAAGAUGACAGUUGCACAGAUCUCC